rnacentral:rRNA from 1 species
AUUGAACGCUGGCGGCAUGCUUUACACAUGCAAGUCGAACGGUAACAGGUCUUCGGAUGCUGACGAGUGGCGAACGGGUGAGUAAUACAUCGGAACGUGCCUAGUAGUGGGGGAUAACUACUCGAAAGAGUAGCUAAUACCGCAUGAGAUCUACGGAUGAAAGCAGGGGACCUUCGGGCCUUGUGCUACUAGAGCGGCUGAUGGCGGAUUAGGUGGUUGGUGGGGGAAAGGCUUACCAAGCCUGCGAUCUGUAGCUGGUCUGAGAGGACGACCAGCCACACUGGGACUGAGACACGGCCCAGACUCCUACGGGAGGCAGCAGUGGGGAAUUUUGGACAAUGGGCGAAAGCCUGAUCCAGCAAUGCCGCGUGCAGGAUGAAGGCCCUCGGGUUGUAAACUGCUUUUGUACGGAACGAAAAGCCUGGGGCUAAUAUCCCCGGGUCAUGACGGUACCGUAAGAAUAAGCACCGGCUAACUACGUG